rnacentral:rRNA from 1 species
CAGGACGAACGCUGGACGGCGUGCUUAACACGAUGCAAGUCGACGGUAAGGCCCUUCGGGGUACACGAGUGGCGAACGGGUGAGUACACGUGGGUGAUCUGCCCUGCACUUUGGGAUAAGCCUGGGAAACUGGGUCUAAUACCGAAUAUGACCAUGGACUUCACGGUUUGUGGUGGAAAGCUUUUGCGGUGUGGGAUGGGCCCGCGGCCUAUCAGCUUGUUGGUGGGGUAAUGGCCUACCAAGGCGACGACGGGUAGCCGGCCUGAGAGGGUGACCGGCCACACUGGGACUGAGAUACGGCCCAGACUCCUACGGGAGGCAGCAGUGGGGAAUAUUGCACAAUGGGCGCAAGCCUGAUGCAGCGACGCCGCGUGGGGAUGACGGCCUUCGGGUUGUAAACCUCUUUCACCAGGGACGAAGCGAGAGUGACGGUACCUGGAGAAGAAGGACCGGCCAACUACGUG